ACGCAAGUGAAUUUUGUCAAUGUUUAGGGAUCUGUUAGUAUAUACAGUAAAUGAUCUGGGUUAAAAGCUAGAUUAAAACACUCAUUUUGAUUCCAUGAUGUCUUUAAAACUACAUAAGCAUUGAGAGUGCAUUCAAGGUGCAUAAACAGCCUGAGCAGAUGACGUGGCAUAGGUCCGGUUCAGGUGUUCUGAGCGCAGGUGACCUUCGUGUAGAGCAGUUGGGGAGGGACCGAGGUCAUGCUGACAUAGCCAAGAGGAGACAUGAGUGAGAGCCGACCAUCUGUCUACCUAUAACACUCAUAUAGUCGCUCAUUCAGAGCCUAGCUCUCUCUGCUGGCUUCUUCUUUCUGAGCUCCAUGUCUAAUAGCUUUAAUGUGAGUUGAUGUAACCCAGGUUACAAGAGCCAGCACCUGUGAAUAGAGAAAAAUAUAUAUUACUACAUAUGUAAAUAAAAUAAGACUAUUUUAUUAAUAUCAUCCCAUUAUUUUAUUCAUAUUCAUAUUAUAUAUCGAAUUCUCAACUUAUACUAAGUGAAAUAGUUAAUAACAGAAAAUGUCUAGGAAAAAUAAGUAAAAUUAGAAACUGGCCGUUUAAGAGUAACCCCCUCCCUCAAGGUUGACGUACAAAAAAAAAAAAAAAACAGAAAAGGGAAGAGAACGGUAGAGAAGCGGAGACAUGGCGAUUUAGUACAAAAACAAGCUUUUGUAACAAGAGAUUUAAAGUUGUUUAAGUUAAGUCGAUCUGUAAGAGAGUGCUCGUUAGCAGUAAAGUAGGUGCUUACAUUAGACGAUCGCGAUUGCACUGGAUCUGAAGAAAAUAGGAAACAGAAAAAAGUUAAUUCACUCGAGAGAAACCAAAAGUAGAGUAUUUUUAUUUUUCCAUCCGGGAUUGUUCUGUUUACUCACUAUUUUCCUUGGUUGGUUUUUUUUUUUUUGUUGGUUUCUUUUCUUUUCUCUCUCUUCUUUGUUUAUUGAUGUUCCUGAGAGCAAUGCUGAUUCUGGAUCUGGAGUUUUGUUGACGUUUGGGAGAAUUGUUUCUGCUGUCCAUCGAGAGAGAGAGAGACACGGUUGCAGAAACUGGCGAGCCAUCCCAUUUCAUAGAAUCUGGAAGUUGUUCAUCACACUGGUAGGAAAUAUUGUGUAAACCUUGUUUUUUACUUUUGGUACACUAUUUUUGUCUAAGCAUCGAAACUCUUUUCACUCAAGGAUCUGAGAUCACGCUAGAAAGCACGCUUAAACACGGAUUGGUCAGUCAUGCCCACCGGUUACACAAGGGAAUACAGGGAAUCACGCCUAUUUGAUAUCCGAAAGAAUGUUAAACCCACACAGCCAUUUCAGCACCAUAUCACGAGCUCUUAACAAUAAACGUUACCUGUGAGGUGAACAGUCAUCAGACCCACUAAGCAGCACGGAGGGCACCGCACCAAAGCUGCACUAGUUGAUAACAAUGAUUUAAAAAAGUUAUACAUAGGAAAACUCCAAAAAGAAUCACCCAUUAAACACAGCUCGCUUACCUACAACCACCGUCGACGCUAGCAAAACAAACGGGGAAAUCGGACGUGACGCCUCCCAGGUAACAGCCAAUCAGACUUAAAUGCAAGGUACUACUUGCUGAUAGGAUGACACUGCUGUCAAUCACCUGAUACCGUUACACAUACAUCUAUUAUAUUUUUCCCCUCCAUCAAACCCCUUAAUUCUUUUCUCCCUUUGUCUGACUUAAAAACCAUUCCGUCCGCCAUAUCUCUCCUACUAAAAACCGUAUUAAAAUCACCUGCCAUUAUUAUUUUCCCCCAUCCUUCUAUCAAUUCUCUUAAAUCAUUAAAAAACAAAGACUUUUCUUUUUCUUCAUUCGGCGCAUGAAGGUUGAUUAAAUUAAAUUCCUCAUUUCCAUAUUUAAUUCUCACCCCUAUACAUUUCCCUUUUUUAUCAUCGUAGAUAAGUUCCCCUUCUAUUCCCUUGUUUUUUCUUAUUAAUAUAGCAACCCCUCUUCCCAUUUUUCCUUCUCCAUUAUUAAAAAAUAUUUCUCCAUCCCAACUCUUAAAAACAUCCAUUACAUCCCUUCUCCAGUUUGUUUCUUGCAAUAAAAUUAUAUCCUCAUUUUUACACAGUUCUUCAAGUUAAAACCACUUAAAACCAUAAAAUAUAAUAAAACAUGCAUAAAACCCUUUUCCUCAGUCCGCGCUCUGAGAGUCUUUCAACACUUCAAAUCCAUUAUCAUUUACUAGAGUGUUCUCUUGUAUCACUCAUUUCCUUGCUUUAUCAAGGUUGGGUCUUACCUUGGGCAAUCUUCUUCUUUUGAGGCCUUUCACUUCAGUGUCAACGUCCUCGGUACUUUCCUCACUCUCUUUGUCUGUAAUAUUCCCUUUGUCCUCUUGAUU
rnacentral:lncRNA from 1 species